rnacentral:rRNA from 1 species
UACAGAGGUCCCAAGCGUUGUUCGGAUUCACUGGGCGUAAAGGGUGCGUAGGUGGCCGGGUAAGUCUGACGUGAAAUCUCCGAGCCUAACUCGGAAACUGCGUCGGAUACUAUCCGGCUUGAGGGUUGGAGGGGGGACUGGAAUACUUGGUGUAGCAGUGAAAUGCGUAGAUAUCAAGCGGAACACCAGUGGCGAAGGCGAGUCCCUGGACAACACCUGACACUGAGGCACGAAAGCUAGGGGAGCAAACAGG